CAUCCUAUCUUUUUCUGAACAGGCUGAGAACGUGAACCUGUCAAUGUUUGGUAAAUUGUUAUGGCCGUGGAGUAUCAUUUUCUCUUUUUUUUACAUUGAAUGUGAUUAGGUUUGUAUUGAAAUCAGCUGCCCCGGGUUUAAAGUGGUGCUGUAAGAUGUAUAUCGUUAUUGAGACGUUUAUGACGAAUAGUAAAAUGCUGUGAUAGCAUUGAUAGAUCAGCUGCCCUUACUUUCGGAAAAGGGACCUACUUAUCCGUGGAACCAAAGGGAGAUAACAGGGAGCCGAUGUUGUCGAUCCUCGAGAACAAAGAACAUCCGGACCUACCCGUUUGCCUGGCCACGGGGUUCUUCCCGAAAGACGGUCACAUGAAUCUGAUGUCUGAUAAAGGCCCGAAAAGCCCGAUUGUCUUAAACAAUGCCCCACUGUCCUCCGACAAAACAUACUUCUUUGUGGGAUUGUCCAAAGGGCCCAUCGAAAACUGCAGCCUGCAUGGUGUUACUGAAUCCAAGGAAGUGCCACGGAUUACUGAAGAAGAUAAGAAAAGCGACACAGAAACCCAAGAGAGACAGUGUGUGCCGCCAACAGCUGAAAAUGUUACAGAAAUCAGCACCAAACAUAAUGAUUACCCAAAGGUGAACUUCAUGUCACUGGCAGUAAAUGGCUUGAGGAUAUUGUUUGCUAAAACUGUGACUUUCAACAUGCUGAUGACCCUGAAGGCUGUGGUGUUCUAAGGAUGCUUUCUGAAGCAGAACCAUUGGAUAUGCCCGCGCCUGUUUGAAAUGACCGCUUUAGCAAUAUCGAUUCAUAAGCUUUCUUCAGCGCAAUGCGGUAUUACUGUAUCCAUCUGUGUGUAAUUGUUCUGUUCAUUUAAGUUGCUUCAAUAAGAGGACUGAUUGGAAUAUGUCCACAGUAUUUCAGAUGUCCCAUGAAUGCAAUUCUGGGAAUUAACUUAGUGUAGUGUCCCCCGAAUUUUGCAUAUAAGUUUGUACAUUUAGAAGUAUUUUGUUUGAUAAUUUUACUUCUCCAUAAUCCUAAUUGUGAUCAUGUAACUUUUUGCAUGGUCACAUUUAGUCAAUACCAACACCAACAUGUACAUACAAUUUUAAAAUAUAUAUUUUUUUUACUGGUAAGGCCAGAAUUAUUAUAAUAUUAGCUGAAUGUGCUUCCUAUUCGACAAUAGUCAUUGGGAUAUAUAUACCACAUAUAUACAAAUAUAUAUGUUUUUUUGCUUACUUUUAUUUUACAAAGUUGAAAAUGAUGAGGACAAACAAUAAUGAGUGGCAUUCUGUAUAAUUGGUUCCAUGCCAACUUUUAUGACCAGAUUUAAUUCAAAAUGUAUGGUUUGUCCAAAUGGAUGUAUUUGUAUUCGUAAUUAUAAAGUAAAUGUUGUUUUUAUUGCUGCAGAUUGCCCAUGGUCUGUACUGGAAAAUACAUUUUAUGAAAGCCCUUUAAAAAUUUCAUUGAAAAAUCUAAUGAAAUCGAAUUAUUAUUUUUUCAUUAAAAAUUACAGCGUAUAGUAUUUACACAAAAGUUCCAGAUGAAAAUGACCAUGAUUAACCAAAUGCAUGAUUUAAAUGUUAUUGCAGUUGCAAUUCAGUUUACAGAAUUAUAUGUUGAAUGGCUUCACUGUAUUUGUAUUGCUGAGCCUGUGCAGAACAUAUUAAUGUGUGUUACAAUAAAGCAAAUGGCAUUUUAACCUUCA